GACGAACACUGGCGGCGUGCUUAACACAUGCAAGUCGAACGAAGAGCGAUGGAAGCUUGCUUCUAUCAAUCUUAGUGGCGAACGGGUGAGUAACGCGUAAUCAACCUGCCCUUCAGAGGGGGACAACAGUUGGAAACGACUGCUAAUACCGCAUACGAUCUAAUCUCGGCAUCGAGGAUAGAUGAAAGGUGGCCUCUACAUGUAAGCUAUCACUGAAGGAGGGGAUUGCGUCUGAUUAGCUAGUUGGAGGGGUAACGGCCCACCAAGGCGAUGAUCAGUAGCCGGUCUGAGAGGAUGAACGGCCACAUUGGGACUGAGACACGGCCCAGACUCCUACGGGAGGCAGCAGUGGGGAAUCUUCCGCAAUGGACGAAAGUCUGACGGAGCAACGCCGCGUGAGCGAUGACGGCCUUCGGGUUGUAAAGCUCUGUUAAUCGGGACGAAAGGCCUUCUUGCGAAUAGUGAGAAGGAUUGACGGUACCGGAAUAGAAAGCCACGGCUAACUACGUG
rnacentral:rRNA from 1 species